AUUGAACGCUGGCGGCAUGCUUUACACAUGCAAGUCGAACGGUAACGCGGGGGCAACCCUGGCGACGAGUGGCGAACGGGUGAGUAAUACAUCGGAACGUGCCCAGUAGUGGGGGAUAGCUCGGCGAAAGCCGGAUUAAUACCGCAUACGACCUACGGGUGAAAGCGGGGGAUCGCAAGACCUCGCGCUAUUGGAGCGGCCGAUGGCAGAUUAGCUUGUUGGUGGGGUAAAAGCCUACCAAGGCUACGAUCUGUAGCUGGUCUGAGAGGACGACCAGCCACACUGGGACUGAGACACGGCCCAGACUCCUACGGGAGGCAGCAGUGGGGAAUUUUGGACAAUGGGCGCAAGCCUGAUCCAGCAAUGCCGCGUGUGUGAUGAAGGCCUUCGGGUUGUAAAGCACUUUUAGUGGGAACGAAACGGUCCGGGCCAAUACCCUGGACUACUGACGGUACCCGCAGAAUAAGCACCGGCUAACUACGUGCCAGCCGCCGCAGUAA
rnacentral:rRNA from 1 species